rnacentral:rRNA from 1 species
CUGGAGGUAUCAGAAGUGCGAAUGCUGACAUAAGUAACGAUAAAGCGGGUGAAAAGCCCGCUCGCCGGAAGACCAAGGGUUCCUGUCCAACGUUAAUCGGGGCAGGGUGAGUCGACCCCUAAGGCGAGGCCGAAAGGCGUAGUCGAUGGGAAACAGGUUAAUAUUCCUGUACUUGGUGUUACUGCGAAGGGGGGACGGAGAAGGCUAUGUUGGCCGGGCGACGGUUGUCCCGGUUUAAGCGUGUAGGCUGGUUUUCCAGGCAAAUCCGGAAAAUCAAGGCUGAGGCGUGAUGACGAGGCACUACGGUGCUGAAGCAACAAAUGCCCUGCUUCCAGGAAAAGCCUCUAAGCAUCAGGUAACAUCAAAUCGUACCCCAAACCGACACAGGUGGUCAGGUAGAGAAUACCAAGGCGCUUGAGAGAACUCGGGUGAAGGAACUAGGCAAAAUGGUGCCGUAACUUCGGGAGAAGGCACGCUGAUAUGUAGGUGAAGUCCCUUGCGGAUGGAGCUGAAAUCAGUCGAAGAUACCAGCUGGCUGCAACUGUUUAUUAAAAACACAGCACUGUGCAAACACGAAAGUGGACGUAUACGGUGUGACGCCUGCCCGGUGCCGGAAGGUUAAUUGAUGGGGUCAGCGCAAGCGAAGCUCUUGAUCGAAGCCCCGGUAAACGGCGGCCGUAACUAUAACGGUCCUAAGGUAGCGAAAUUCCUUGUCGGGUAAGUUCCGACCUGCACGAAUGGCGUAAUGAUGGCCAGGCUGUCUCCACCCGAGACUCAGUGAAAUUGAACUCGCUGUGAAGAUGCAGUGUACCCGCGGCAAGACGGAAAGACCCCGUGAACCUUUACUAUAGCUUGACACUGAACAUUGAGCCUUGAUGUGUAGGAUAGGUGGGAGGCUUAGAAGUGUGGACGCCAGUCUGCAUGGAGCCGACCUUGAAAUACCACCCUUUAAUGUUUGAUGUUCUAACGUUGACCCGUAAUCCGGGUUGCGGACAGUGUCUGGUGGGUAGUUUGACUGGGGCGGUCUCCUCCUAAAGAGUAACGGAGGAGCACGAAGGUUGGCUAAUCCUGGUCGGACAUCAGGAGGUUAGUGCAAUGGCAUAAGCCAGCUUGACUGCGAGCGUGACGGCGCGAGCAGGUGCGAAAGCAGGUCAUAGUGAUCCGGUGGUUCUGAAUGGAAGGGCCAUCGCUCAACGGAUAAAAGGUACUCCGGGGAUAACAGGCUGAUACCGCCCAAGAGUUCAUAUCGACGGCGGUGUUUGGCACCUCGAUGUCGGCUCAUCACAUCCUGGGGCUGAAGUAGGUCCCAAGGGUAUGGCUGUUCGCCAUUUAAAGUGGUACGCGAGCUGGGUUUAGAACGUCGUGAGACAGUUCGGUCCCUAUCUGCCGUGGGCGCUGGAGAACUGAGGGGGGCUGCUCCUAGUACGAGAGGACCGGAGUGGACGCAUCACUGGUGUUCGGGUUGUCAUGCCAAUGGCACUGCCCGGUAGCUAAAUGCGGAAGAGAUAAGUGCUGAAAGCAUCUAAGCACGAAACUUGCC